UACAGAGGUCCCGAGCGUUGUUCGGAUUCACUGGGCGUAAAGGGUGCGUAGGUGGUGAGGAAAGUCGGAUGUGAAAUCUCCAAGCUCAACUUGGAAAUGGCAUUGGAAACUACCUUGCUGGAGGUUUGGAGGGGGGACUGGAAUACUUGGUGUAGCAGUGAAAUGCGUAGAUAUCAAGUGGAACAUCAGUGGCGAAGGCGAGUCCCUGGACAACACCUGACACUGAGGCACGAAAGCUAGGGGAGCAAACAGG
rnacentral:rRNA from 1 species